AAGUUAGAAAGCCUUUUUAAUUUAAUAACUCUAAAAUAAAGUUCUUCUCCAAAGAAGAAAUUAAACCCUAAACCCUAGUUCCCUCUCCUCAUCGUUUCCGCCCAAUAUUUCUCCAUUGUAACCUUAUCAAGUUCUUCAAUCGGUAAAGUCGUUGUCUCUCUACUUUGAUGACAUGUGGUGCUUUUCCUAAUCCUUCUUUGUCUUCGUCUGAAAACUGGAGAAAUAGUUUAAUGAAUUCUGGCAUCGUUUGGAUUAACUGGGGAAUCUACGGGAGUGUAUACGAUUUUUGGUGAUGGAGAUAGAUUAAGGAACUCGACUUAUAUAUGCCAGCCUUCUUCUCGUUCAUCAGUCUCGCCCAAUUGUUGGUAUAUUCCAAAAUCACGAUCUAUAUUAGUAUAUUUUUAUUUUGUACGUUUUGAAUGUUAGAUGCAAUUUUAGUUCGAAAUAACCUUCACAUUUAAACUGUGUGUUCAUUUAAAUAGUUCAGAUGUUCUAGAGUGGUGUUGUAGAUUGAGUUUUGAAAUAUAUGUGCUAUAUUUUGUUUGUUUUUUAGAUUAUCUGUGCCUAUGUAUGAGUAAAUAUUUUUUACUGUGAGAUAACAUGGACAUCAGCAGUAUGCUAAGAUUGAAAUGUUUAGUUGAAAGCGUGUAAAUGUCUUAGAAAUUAUCUAUUUUCAAUUAAGAGGGAAGUCUAUUUAGUUGCACUAAACUACAAGAUAUUGUGCUGCUUCAGUUUUGGUUUUACUUUUACUGGAAUAUUUUCGUAUCUAUGUUCUGAAGGUAGUACUUGUGCCCCCUUUUUUUUAAAAAGUAAAUGAUUAUUUCUCAAAUGUGCUUGUUAACACAAUAAUGAUUUUGAAGAAAUAUCUGCUUGAUAACACUCAUGUCCUUACCAUUUUCAUAAUAAUCUAAUCCACUUAAAUGCACAUUGAGCUUUGAUCAGCAUGAAAAAAAUAUAGUUUAAUGACACUACAAAAGAGUUGUUAAAUUGCAGGGAUUAAAAUUAGAAGUUUUAGGGGUUGUAAACCCCGAAUUCUAUUGUCUCGGUGGUUUAAGAAAACCCUAUUCUAUGGUCUGUCGCAAAUUGAUUGUAGGGGUUUUGGGAGAACCGCUGUAACUGCUUUGCGGUGGUCCUUUUGCGGGGGUUUUGACCUCCGCAAUCUGUCUAGACAAACCACUGUAAGUGUAGACAGUUCAUAAAACUUAAGAAAACACAUGAUGGUAUAGUCGCCUAUCAAUAAAUUCGGUUCAGCUAUAUGAAUCACUCUCUAUGUUGCUCAUCUCAAUCCAAUAUUACACAUAAGAAGUUGGACAGUCAAACUUAGCAGAAUCCAAAUUUUGGGACUAAUUUGUUUGUGGCAUCAGAAAUGUCACACCCAAAUAUAUUUCUUAACACUUAUAUUGCUUUUCUUAUUGUCUCUUUAUCAAAAUGUGCUUCCACACAUUUUGCCUCACCAUUUAUCAAGGUUACCAUCAGCAAUAUUGGAGCUCGGGUAAGCAUUUUCCAUGUGAUAAUGAGAUGAAAACAGAUCAACAUUAAUAGACAGCUAGGAGAAGUUCAUAAGCACAUAAUGAUGACUAAAUGAUGCAUUGAGAAGCCAUAGUAAAUUGCAGAAAUGAAUAGGUCCUUCAUAUUAUAAAGCCAGUAUAAAAAGGUUCAAUUGAAAAAAUAGAAGUCUAAAGAGCACUCAAGUCUAAAAAAUUGGGUAUGUGUUUCUUAAAGAGGACAAGUCAGUGAAGGCUAUCGUAUGUGAUAAGUUGGCCAAAGUUCUCACUUCUCCUUUCAGUGAAGACAAGAAAAAUAUACUUCCAUAAAUCUAUUUUUAUCAUCAUUCUAUGAACUUUUGUAACAGUCUUUAUUAGUAUUAGAAGCAGACAAUUUUGUCCGAGCUUGCAGGAGCAAGAUGGUUGAUGUUUAAGUUAGUAACUUCAUACAUGCAGUAAUGACAUGUAGUGAAAUAGAAUUAGUUUGUAGUAAACACACUCCAUAUUACCUAUAGCAAGCUGAUUACUUCUGUAGACAUCUCAAGAAUGUGACUUUUCUAAUACAUUCAAGUAUAACUGCAUAAUUUAUCAGUAUAAACACUUUCCAAGUUCCUUUCCAGAGAGAUGGUCUUGUAGUUCUGUUUUCUUCUGAAGCAUGGGAAUUCAAGUUUGUCCAUAUUAUGUUCUCCCCUUGCCUCCAUAGAUAAUUGUUGAGGUGUAGAGAAACAUUCUGUGCAUGUGCAUUCCACUACAUUGUUUGCUAAUCUACCAACGACAUGAUUACCUUCUCUACAAGUAUGUUGAAUGGUAGUAACUUCAAAAUUUUGUAUCCCCCUCUUAAUAUGUUGGAUAUCAUUUUAAAUGGUCCAGGGAGGUUUAGAAGUAUCAGUAAUCCAUUGGACAAUUAGCAAAGAAUCAGUCCCGACUUCAACCUUUCUGAUGUUAUUAGAGUAAAACCAUUCUAGUCCCUUUAGCAUAGCUUUGUACGGACUAUAAGAGUGAAAUUUUACAAAUUCUUCCGAUUCAACUCAUGCUUUUGUUCUUGAGAAGGUAUUUUAUAUUUUACAUUCACACGAAACUUAAAUCUUGAACUUUUGAAUGUAAAAGAGGGUGCAAGAAUGUUGUUCGCCCUUAUUUUGGCACCUAUUAAAUAUAACAUCAGAUACUCUGAGUUGAACACAUAUAAUUUCCUCUUUUAAAUCUAGGUAUGUUUAUAUAUGUUAUAUUCGGUGCUGACACCUUUCCACAUUUCUAACAUUGUUAAAAUUCUUGUGUUGGAGUAGUACUUCUUCAUUUGUUGUCAUCGAGUUAAAAUCUUUUUGAGAUUGAACCUGAUAUUAUGAGCUUGUACGUUGCCUGGAUUAAGCAAUAUUUUACCUUGCUUAGGUAAUUCACAAAAGGAUCUGAAUUUGAAUAUGCAUAAUUUCUCUAUAAUCAGAUUUUCCAGAUAAUCUGCAAAUGUAUUUUUGUUUUUUUAUAUAUGUGUUGCACCUAGUUUGUGUAAUGGAAAAGAAGGCGAAAUGUGGCUCCGAGGUUUUGUUCUAUGUUUUGGUUGCAAUUGCAGAGCAUGCACCAUUACAGUCUACUAGUUAUUAGCUUUCCAGCAGACAGAUAUUAGGGACCCCCACACUGAUUCUUUUUCCCUUUGUUUGAUGAAAUUUAAGUAUUUUCAGUUCUUGAAUGAUUGCAGCGCUUUGGGGAAUUUGAGGUUGUGUACUUUGGGGACAAAGCUAUUAUUGAGGAUCCAAUUGAGUGUGGCAGCUGGCCGUUAUGCGACUGCUUGAUUGCCUUCUACUCCAGUGGAUAUCUUUUGAAGAAGGAAGAAGCAUAUGAUUCAUUAAGAAAGCCUUUCCUUGUGAAUGAAUUGGAACCACAAUACCUUCUUCAUGAUCGGAGGAAAGUAUACGAGGGAAAUGAAGGCGAUCAAGUUUGAAUGGUGGACACUAAUCAACUCAAUUUAUCGAAGGGAACGAUAAAUAGUUUUCAACUACUAUAAUAUAUAUGAUUGAAUACAUUUGAUAUAUUGAUAUUUAUUGCUAAUAGAAAUCUUUCAAAUAUUGCUUUCUAUUGCAAAUAUAUACAUUUGAAUUAUUUGUUAUCUAAUUUGGUGCUUUGGAUCA